AUGUCUAAGUCUGGAAGCAACAUCUUUCUUGAUAUCAUCCAUGUUAAAGACUCAGUAUCUUGGCUAAUGCAAGCCUAUGUACUUUGUCGUGAGGUUCCUGGACUUUUGCAAAAGAUAAGAAGGCGGAUACAUAGAGGGGCACUUCUUUUGUUGAUGGCAUAUGCAUCAGUUUCAGAGAAACGAUGGAAAAUUGAUGUUCAUCUAAAAGAAUUGUUGAGAACCCUUGAAGAUUCGUGGUUAGGAUGA